CUAAGGAAUACGUCUCCUGCGACGGAGACAUACAGGAAGCACAAGCUUCCAACCGCUUCGUUCAUUUGUUCAGUUUUGAUGGAAUUCAUUUUGGGGCCAUAGCUCAGCUGGGAGAGCGCCUGCCUUGCAAGCAGGAGGUCAGGAGUUCGAUCCUCCUUGGCUCCACCAUAAAUUUCGUCUUUUUGUACCUUGAAAACUGAAUCGCGAAAGUAAAGCUUAGAAUCAUCCUUUAAUUUUAAAUAGGAGUUAAAAAGUUUACUUUUCAGCACCGAGAAGGUUGCUUGAAACUGAAGAAAGAGGAGCGCAGUGUAGUUGAGACUACAUGAGCACCGGAUUUCGAAGCUGAAGGCAAGAUUCGAUGCCGAAUAACCCCUUGAGAUCCUUCGUGAUCAAAAGGAAACUUUUUAACAACCUAACUA
rnacentral:tRNA from 1 species